GGCUCAUGUAAAAUCUGUAUGUCCACAUGGAAAAGUAUUUUGUCUACACAAAACACCAAAGAGGACUGUGCUGUCAGUUGUCUUGAGGUUGAUGAUAUUAAAACUUAUUUUCAGGAGAUUUGCAAGUGUGGCUCAGUGGUAAAGGACUUGCGUGGCUUGCCCAUGUCCUGGGUUCGAUUCCUAGCACCCCACAAAAAAUUAUUUUUUUAAUUAUUUAUCACAAUUUUAACAACAUUUGCUCCAAAGAGGCGAUAAGGUAACCUGUUAGAAGCAAGAUAACAUAUUUGCUUCUUGAAAUCAUAUCGUUGUGGAAAACUGUAGUUUUUCUAGUAUUUCUACAAUGCACUUCUUAUUUGAGUUCAGACCUCUAAAUGAAAGCUCACACUUGAGGCUCACACACAGGAAACACAGUACCAGCCUCCACUUCCCAGGUCAUCCUCUAUUUAGAAAGAGGACCUCAUGGCUAGAGACAAAGGACUUGCCUUCCUCUUGAGAAAUCUCUCCCCACUGAUAAGUAGUGAGUAAAUGCAGAAUGUUUAAGCAGUGUUUCCUCCAGUCCUGUGAGACUGUCUCAGCAGGAGCCAGAUGGUGCUUGUCUCUUCUACAGGCAAAGAAAGUGGAAUCUCAGCACACAUGUGUGCCCCCCUCCUCCCUGCUACCCCAGGAUAGAAGGCUUCAAUUUGCCAGGUGUACCUAGUUGGUUCAGGGUCCUUUUACAGAAGCCUCUGCUUAGGCGUGGUUAGGAAGCACGAGCAGAUCAAACAGAAGCGAUGCUGCUAUUUCCCCAGCAUGGUUGCUCUUGCAGAAAAAGCAGGACUCCGGGUUUGAGAUGGGGAGCCAUCCCACCUUCGUUUCUACCAUUAGUCAAAUCAACACAAUUAUCCCAGCGACUCAGUGCAGAUGCUCGGGCUAGAGAGCGAAGAGUCAGCAGCAAAGGGCGGCCACCUUUCACCCAGCUGUUUCUGCUUGCAGGAUCCAAGCAUUCACGCGGAAGUGGUGGCAAUACACACUGUCAUUGUUAAACCCGGCAACAGGAAGUGGGAUGAUGGAAGCGUCUGGAUAAUUCGAUCCAGCGGAGCUGCGUGGUCUUUGGCUUGGGAUUCAGACGCUCACUCAUUGGAUGAGGUGUGUAGCCCACCUAACUAUGAAGCCCUUUCUUGAUGGAGCCAUCAUGAGAAGAGCUGCAGAAGCACACCCUGAGGAAAGCUAUCCCCGGUAAAAAGCUGCAAAUCUCUCAUCACAGGAUGGAAAACGGGAGUCCACAUCAAGCAUCCGAAGUUUGUGGAAACUGGGUAAGCACAGAAAUAGCAGAGGGUCAGUGAAGGGUUACCCUGCAUGAAGCUCCAGGACACCUGGCUUGCAGAUGGAAAGUAAGGAAAUCCCUGCCUCACACCACAUGUAUACAGGAAGCAAGGUGGAAGAACUAAGCAUCAAAGAGACAGCACGCUAGAACCAUCAGGGAAAUACCCCUGUGCCCUAAGUUAGAAAACACAUUAAUGUAGUGAAAUUACAUUAAUUACACAUUAUGUGCAAUGUGAAAUUACACAUUAAUGAGUAUCUAUCCUAGCAGUCCAAACUUCCAUGGUUACAGUAGAACAGUAGUGCAAGUGAGUGAGGUCCACAGUACGUACAACUGAGAACUUACUCCACCAAUAGGAAACAUUUAGGGAAGACGAGCACAGAUGAUAAGCAGAUUAUUCAGAGAAGAUAAGGGGGUCAAUAAAUCUACUAAAAGGGGUUCA
rnacentral:lncRNA from 1 species